UCCAGUGGUUCUCAACACUUCAACAGGACUGAACAACAUUUGUGAAAUGUUUAGGACCACUGGACCUGAGGCAAGGAACUGUCAUCAGGCAGAGGACACAGACACCUGGACUCACCUUGGCUCACCUGGACUCACCUGGGCUCACCUGGACUCACCUGGACUGUGUGUUUCCCUCAGGGGCGGCACGGUGGUGUGGUGGUUAGCACUCUCGCCUCACAGCAAGAGGGUUGCCGGUUCGAUCCCGGGUGUGGGAGCCCUUCUGUGCGGAGUUUGCAUGUUCUCCCCGUGUCAGCGUGGGUUCUCUCCGGGCACUCCGGCUUCCUCCCACAGUCCAAAGACAUGCAGAUUGGGGACUAGGUUAAUUGAUAACUCUAAAUUGUCCGUAGGU